rnacentral:rRNA from 1 species
UACGGAGGGAGCUAGCGUUGUUCGGAAUUACUGGGCGUAAAGCGCGCGUAGGCGGCCAUACAGGUCAGCUGUGAAAACUCGAGGCUCAACCUCGAGACGUCGGUUGAAACCGUAUGGCUAGAGUCCGGAAGAGGAGAGUGGAAUUCCCGGUGUAGCGGUGAAAUGCGUAGAGAUGUGGAGGAACACCGAUGGCGAAGGCAGCCCCCUGGGUCAAGAUUGACGCUCAUGCACGAAAGCGUGGGGAGCAAACAGG